rnacentral:rRNA from 1 species
CCGCCGGCGACCGGCGCACGGGUGAGUAACACGUAUGCAACCUGCCCUCUUCAGGGGGACAACCUUCCGAAAGGGAGGCUAAUCCCGCGUAUAUCGGUUUCGGGCAUCCGAGAUCGAGGAAAGAUUCAUCGGAAGAGGAUGGGCAUGCGGCGCAUUAGCUAGACGGCGGGGUAACGGCCCACCGUGGCGACGAUGCGUAGGGGUUCUGAGAGGAAGGUCCCCCACACUGGUACUGAGACACGGACCAGACUCCUACGGAAGGCAGCAG